GAUGAACGCUGGCGGCGUGCCUAAUACAUGCAAGUCGAGCGAACAGACGAGGAGCUUGCUCCUCUGACGUUAGCGGCGGACGGGUGAGUAACACGUGGAUAACCUACCUAUAAGACUGGGAUAACUUCGGGAAACCGGAGCUAAUACCGGAUAAUAUAUUGAACCGCAUGGUUCAAUAGUGAAAGACGGUUUUGCUGUCACUUAUAGAUGGAUCCGCGCCGCAUUAGCUAGUUGGUAAGGUAACGGCUUACCAAGGCAACGAUGCGUAGCCGACCUGAGAGGGUGAUCGGCCACACUGGAACUGAGGCACGGUCCAGACUCCUACGGGAGGCAGCAGUAGGGAAUCUUCCGCAAUGGGCGAAAGCCUGACGGAGCAACGCCGCGUGAGUGAUGAAGGUCUUCGGAUCGUAAAACUCUGUUAUUAGGGAAGAACAAAUGUGUAAGUAACUAUGCACGUCUUGACGGUACCUAAUCAGAAAGCCACGGCUAACUACGUG
rnacentral:rRNA from 1 species